AGUUGGGCACUCUAAGAGGACUGCCGGUGUCAAACCGGAGGAAGUGGGGAUGACGUCAAGUCCUCAUGGCCUUUAUGUCUAGGGCUACACACGUACUACAAUGGCCGGUACAAAGGGCAGCCACUCAGCGAUGAGGCGCUAAUCCCAUAAAGCCGGUCUCAGUCCGGAUCGCAGUCUGCAACUCGACUGCGUGAAGUUGGAAUCGCUAGUAAUCGUAGAUCAGCAUGCUACGGUGAAUACGUUCCCGGGCCUU
rnacentral:rRNA from 1 species